GACGAAGGUGGCAAGCGUUGUUCGGAAUCACUGGGCAUAAAGCGCGCGUAGGCGGCCAAGUCAGUCGGGUGUGAAAGCCCUCGGCUCAACCGAGGAACUGCGCCCGAUACUGCUUGGCUUGAGGGCCGGAGGGGAGAGUGGAAUUCCCGGUGGAGCGGUGAAAUGCGUAGAGAUCGGGAAGAACGCCGGCGGCGAAAGCGACUCUCUGGUCGGUACCUGACGCUGAGGCGCGAAAGCUAGGGGAGCAAACGGGAUUAGAUACCCCCGUAGUCC
rnacentral:rRNA from 1 species